rnacentral:siRNA from 1 species
AGCGUGCUUGGGCGAGAGUAGUA